rnacentral:rRNA from 1 species
AUUGAACGCUGGCGGCAGGCCUAACACAUGCAAGUCGAGCGGAUUCAGCGAGCUUGCUCCUGGAUUCAGCGGCGGCCGGGUGAGUCAUGCCUAGGAAUCUGCCUGGUCGUGGGGGAUAACGUCCGGAAACGGGCGCUAAUACCGCAUACGUCCUGUGGUAGCAAGUGGGGGAUCUUCGGACUUCACGCUAUCAGAUGAGCCUAGGUCGGAUUAGCUAGUUGGUGGGGUAACGGCUUACCAAGGCGACGAUCCGUAACUGGUCUGAGAGGAUGAUCAGGCACACUGGAACUGAGACACAGUCCAGACACCUACGGGAGGCAGCAGUGGGGAAUAUUGGACAAUGGACGAAAGCCUGAUCCAGCCAUGCCGCGUGAAGGAAGAAGGUCUUCUGAUUGUAAAGCACUUUAAGUUGGAAGGAAGGGCAGUAAGUUAAUACCUUGCUGUAUUGACGUUACCAACAGAAUAAGCACCGGCUAACUUCGUG